UACGAAGGGAGCUAGCGUUGUUCGGAAUUACUGGGCGUAAAGCGUGCGCAGGCGGUUUGCUAAGACAGGUGUGAAAUCCCCGGGCUUAACCUGGGAACUGCGCUUGUAACUGGCAAGCUUGAGUGUGGCAGAGGGGGGGUGGAAUUCCGACGUGUAGCAGUGAAAUGCGCAGAUAUCAGGAGGAACACCGGUGGCGAAGGCGGAUCUCUGGGCCAUUACUGACGCUGAGGAACGAAAGCGUGGGGAGCGAACAGG
rnacentral:rRNA from 1 species